UACGGGGGGGGCAAGCGUUGUUCGGAAUUACUGGGCGUAAAGGGCUCGUAGGCGGCCAACUAAGUCAGAUGUGAGAGCCCCGGGCUCAACCUGGGAACUGCAUUUGAAACUGGGGGGCUAGAGUGUGGAAGAGGGGGGUGGAAUUCCAGGUGUAGCAGUGAAAUGCGUAGAGAUCUGGAGGAACACCGAUGGCGAAGGCAGCCCCCUGGGCUAACACUGACGCUCAUGCACGAAAGCGUGGGGAGCAAACAGG
rnacentral:rRNA from 1 species